GCAUUAAUGGGGUAGUGGUAACCUGGGUCGUUGCCAUCCGGGCGAUUAAAGCUCGACCCGCCGGGGGUUCGAUUCCCUCUUAAUGCA
rnacentral:tRNA from 1 species